rnacentral:rRNA from 1 species
UGAGGAAUAUUGGUCAAUGGGGGCAACCCUGAACCAGCCAUGCCGCGUGAAGGAUUAAGGCCCUAUGGGUUGUAAACUUCUUUUGUUCGGGACGAAACUUGGGUACGUGUACCCAACUGACGGUACCGAAUGAAUAAGCAACGGCUAACUCCGUGCCAGCAGCCGCGGUAAUACGGAGGUUGCAAGCGUUAUCCGGAUUUAUUGGGUUUAAAGGGUGCGUAGGCGGAUUUGUAAGUCAGUGGUGAAAGCCUGUAGCUUAACUAUAGAAAUGCCAUUGAUACUGCUAAUCUUGAGUACAGUUGAGGUGGGCGGAAUGUGCAGUGUAGCGGUGAAAUGCUUAGAUAUUGCACAGAACACCAAUUGCGAAGGCAGCUCACUAAAGUGUAACUGACGCUGAGGC